rnacentral:rRNA from 1 species
AUGUGGAGUCUCAAGACACAUGGGUACGCCGACUCCUAUUGCUUGACAAAUGAUGCCAUCUCAGGUCAUGGAUCCACUGUGGCCGCUUCGUCCUUCACUGAGGACCUUCUCAUCCGCACAGAGAUCAGAGGUUAUGACUAUGUCAUAGGUGACGUGCGGAAAGGUGACCAACAAGGAGAAGAUUGCAUGAAGAAUUCUUGCUAUCAACUAGGGCUGGAUGCCCCCAGGAAGAAUACUGUGCUGUACUAUCCUGGGCGCUCACUCCCCCAGGGUCCCACAAGUUUGCAUAGAGCUCGGACGCCGGUGGCGGCUUGGCACGCUAAUCUGCCGCCUCCACAUGAGGAGUCGUGA